rnacentral:rRNA from 1 species
AACUUUUAACAACGGAUCUCUUGGCUCUCGCAUCGAUGAAGAACGCAGCGAAAUGCGAUAAGUAAUGUGAAUUGCAGAAUUCAGUGAAUCAUCGAAUCUUUGAACGCACCUUGCGCUCCUUGGUAUUCCGAGGAGCAUGCCUGUUUGAGUGUCAU